CCAAUAGCGUAUAUUAAAGUUGUUGCAGUUAAAAAGCUCGUAGUUGAAUUUCGGGGUUCUACCGUCGGUCGGGCUAACAAGUCUGUACUGGUGUGUAGAACUUCUACCUUCUGGGGAACUAUCAUGUUAUUAAUUUAGCGUGGUAGGAAACCAGGACCUUUACCUUGAAAAAAUUAGAGUGUUCAAAGCAGGCUUAAAGUCUGAAUACAUUAGCAUGGAAUAAUAGAAUAGGACGGUGGUCCUGUUUUGUUGGUUUCUGAAUCACCGUAAUGAUUAAUAGGGAUAGUUGGGUGCAUUAGUAUUCAAUUGUCAGAGGUGAAAUUCUUGGAUUUAUUGAAGACUAACUUCUGCGAAAGCAUUUGCCAAGGAUGUUUUCAUUAAUCAAGAACGAAAGUUAGGGGAUCGAAGACGAUCAGAUACCGUCGUAGUCUUAACCAUAAACUAUGCCGACUAGGGAUCGGACGAUGUUAAAUUUUAUUGACUCGUUCGGCGCCUUACG
rnacentral:rRNA from 1 species